UACGUAGGUGGCAAGCGUUAUCCGGAUUUAUUGGGUGUAAAGGGCGUGUAGGCGGGAAUGCAAGUCAGAUGUGAAAACUAUGGGCUCAACCCAUAGCCUGCAUUUGAAACUGUAUUUCUUGAGUGCUGGAGAGGCAAUCGGAACUCCGUGUGUAGCGGUGAAAUGCGUAGAUAUACGGAGGAACACCAGUGGCGAAGGCGGAUUGCUGGACAGUAACUGACGCUGAGGCGCGAAAGCGUGGGGAGCAAACAGG
rnacentral:rRNA from 1 species